AGCAACAUGGUUGAAAGAUUCAUGGAAAGGAAGGAAUUGAGAGCACCAAUUGUCUGCCCACCACCAUAUCCAGAGGGCCAGCAUCUCAAUCGCGGUGACACCAGCGGUCAUCACAAGUCACAACGGAUGAAAGGCUUACAUAAUACAUCAAGAUCAAAGUACACCCUCCUUCAAUGAUCUCCACCUUCAACACUUCCCCACAUCAACCAGACUUUGAGUUCACUUGACACAGGACACAAAAAAGCCAACUAA
rnacentral:lncRNA from 1 species